rnacentral:rRNA from 1 species
AUGUCCGAAUUGUUGCUUGCGCGUUUCUCUUUUGCCAUGCCACCAACAUGUGGGAACCUGGUGUCCGGGAUCACCCCACCAUCCUUGCAGGACAAGCUCACGCCCACUUUCUUUUGCACCAACAUCUCGACGAGUUGUCGGGUCAUCGGAAUGUUGCCGUGGCAUCAUUUCCGUUGUCGCUGUCGUGACACCCCUUUCGUCUGCCACUGUGAAAAAUGCUUCAUAACAUGCUCAUGUCAACUUUUUCAGAAAACUUGCAUAAAACUCGUAUAUGUCAUCCGCAUCAUGAUAACAACUUUUAAAGUGUUUAAAAAUUGUUGUUGA